UACGUAGGGGUGCAAGCGUUAAUCGGAAUUACUGGGCGUAAAGCGUACGCAGGCGGCUGUGUAAGACAGGUGUGAAAUCCCCGGGCCUAACCUGGGAACUGCAUUUGUGACUGCAUAGCUAGAGUCUGUCAGAGGGGGGUGGAAUUCCACGUGUAGCAGUGAAAUGCGUAGAGAUGUGGAGGAACACCGAUGGCGAAGGCAGCCCCCUGGGAUAAGACUGACGCCUCGAUGAUACGGAAAGCGUGGGGAGCAAACAGGAUUAAGAAACCCCUGGGUAG
rnacentral:rRNA from 1 species